rnacentral:rRNA from 1 species
UACGUAGGGUGCGAGCGUUGUCCGGAAUUAUUGGGCGUAAAGAGCUCGUAGGCGGCUUUGUAAGUUAGAGGUGAAAGCCCGGAGCUCAACUCCGGAACUGCCUUUAAGACUGCAUCGCUAGAAUUGUGGAGAGGUGAGUAGAAUUCCGAGUGUAGAGGUGAAAUUCGUAGAUAUUCGGAAGAACACCAGUGGCGAAGGCGACUCACUGGACACAUAUUGACGCUGAGGUGCGAAAGCGUGGGGAGCAAACAGG